rnacentral:misc_RNA from 1 species
GAGCUUCAGUCCCCUGAAGCUUCCGCCGCAGCCGCAGCACCUGACCCCACUCCAGAUCUUCCUCCUCGAACCCCUGUCGCUGGUGCCCGGGUUCACUUCCCCAACCCUGAUGAUGCGAUCGAGGUCUUUGUUGAUGGCUACCCUGUCAAAAUCCCCAAGGGGAUGACUGUUUUGCAAGCCUGUGAAAUUGCCGGUGUCGACAUUCCUCGCUUUUGCUACCAUAGCCGGCUCUCUAUAGCUGGCAAUUGUCGUAUGUGCCUGGUUGAGGUCGAGAAGUCCCCCAAGCCUGUGGCGUCUUGCGCCAUGCCUGCUCUUCCUGGGAUGAAGAUUAAGACCGACACACCUGUAGCAAAGAAGGCACGAGAAGGGGUGAUGGAGUUUUUGCUCAUGAAUCAUCCAUUGGAUUGUCCAAUUUGUGAUCAAGGUGGAGAGUGUGAUCUUCAAGAUCAGUCUAUGGCAUUUGGAUCUGAUCGUGGCCGGUUCACUGAAAUGAAGCGAUCUGUGGUUGAUAAGAAUCUUGGUCCUUUGGUGAAGACAGUGAUGACUCGGUGUAUUCAGUGCACAAGGUGCGUCAGGUUUGCUACAGAAAUUGCUGGGGUCCAGGAUCUCGGCAUGCUAGGUCGUGGCAGUGGAGAAGAAAUUGGCACUUACGUUGAAAAGCUUAUGACAAGUGAACUUUCUGGA